AAUCCUCAGCUGCCCCAGGCUUUUGUGGCCUGUGGGUGAAGUUGGACUUGGAGGUAUGCUGGCGCAUGAAUGGGCUUUGUGCCCUGCUGUGCUUGUCGGCUCCUCUUGAAUGUAUGAGCUUUCCAAUCCUUGGCAAAGUAUCGUCGAUGUGAUAAUUAUCUAUGUCGCCCGAGAAAGCCGUAAAGGGGAAAUCUUCGAUCAUGCUGGGGCAACACCCCGCGUCUGACAA
rnacentral:misc_RNA from 1 species